rnacentral:rRNA from 1 species
UACAGAGGUCCCAAGCGUUGUUCGGAUUCACUGGGCGUAAAGGGUGCGCAGGUGGGUUUGCAAGUUUGAUGUGAAAGCCCCCGGCUUAACUGGGGAGGGUCAUUCGAUACUGCUCGGCUCGAAGACAGGAGAGGGAAGCGGAAUUCCCGGUGUAGUGGUGAAAUGCGUAGAGAUCGGCAGGAACACCCAGGGAGAAAUCAGCCGCCUGGGCAAGUGCUGACGCUGAGGUGCGAAAGCGUGGGGAGCGAACCGG